UCCGUUGUCAACGGCUGCGCGGCCCACGCGCGCUCUUGCGUCCUAAUCAAGGUAACCUCUCCUUGAGUACCGGGACUCCAGCGCUGGGGGGCGGGGAUGGUUGCUAACGCAGCUCUCUGCAGGGCAGAUCCGCCAGCACCCGCACGCACACUACGGGAUGGAGCAGUCUAACGGAAACUCAAAGUCGCUCCUAGGUUGCCAUUCUCGAGCCAGCCUCACCAUUGCAAUGAAGACAUCAAUUAAGCCAGGCACAGCAGCUACAAACGCUGAGCUCAGUUCCUGCAGGGAAGGACCUUCUACAGAGAGCUACCUGGGGACUGUGAAGCUGGACCCCAGGCGGAGUCUAGUCCUCUAUCAUCUAGCCCCCAUUCUCUUCUCCAACACUGCUGUGUCCCAGAUUUAAUCUUCAUGUACUUGAAGGACAGAAUCAUCAGCCUCACGCACUAAUUAUUCUUUAUGGUACAAACUCUAUGUUCUGCGUUUGCCCAGGCAGGAAUACAGUAGUAGCAUGAUCUCUGCUGACCACAACCUAGCUUCCUGGGUUCAAGAGAUUCUCCCACCUCAACCUCCCAAGUAGCUGGGAGUACAGGCAUGCGCCACCACACUUGGCUAAUUUUUAAAAUGUUUUGUAGAGAAGGGGUCUCACUAGGUUGCCCAGGCUGCUCUUGGACUCCUAGGCCCAAGCCAUCCUCCCACCUUAGCCUCCCAAAGUGCUGGGAUUACAGGAAUGAGCCACCACAUCUGGCCUCCUUCUUUUAAAGACAUAGUUUGGAAGUUAAUUAAAAAAAAAAAAGUCGUUUCUUUCUGUCACCCAAGCUGGAGUGCACAGGCAUGAUCUUGGCUCACUGCAACCUCCACUCCCCAGGUUCAAGCAAUUCUCCUGCCUCAGCCUCCCAAGUAGUUGGGACUAUAGGCAUGUGCCACUAUGCCUGGCUAAUUUUUUUUUUUUUUCAGAUAGUCUCUCUCUGUCCCCCAGGCUGGAGUGCAGUGGUGCGAUCUCAACUCAUUGCAACCUCUGCCUCCUGGGUUCAAGCAAUUCUCCUGCCUCAGCCUCCUGAGUAGCACCCAGCUAAUUUUUGUAUUUUUAGUAGAGAUAGGGUUUCACCACAUUGGUCAGGCUGGUCUCAAUCUCCUGACGUCAGGUGAUCCGUGCACCUUGGCUUCUGAAAGUGCUGCGAUUACAGAUAUGAACCACCUUGCCCAGCCCUUGGGUUGGAGUGCAGUGGUGCAAUCUCAGCUCACUACAACCUCUGCCUCCCAGUUUCAAGACAUUCUUCUGCCUCAGCCUUCUGAGUAGCUGGGAUUACAGGUGCCCACCACAGCACCUGGCUAGUUUUUUGUAUUUUUAUUAGAGUCAGGGUUUCACCAUCUUGGUGAGGCUGGUCUCAAACUCUUGAGCUAAGGCUGUCUGCCCAUCUCAGCUUCCCAAAGUGCUGGGAAUACAGGCAUGAGCCACCAUGCCAGCAAACGCUGUCUCUCUUCUAGGAAUCAAUAUAAAUCAUCUGGCAAUUAAUUAUUUUUUAUUUUGAGACAGAGUCUUACUCAGUUGCCCAGGCUGGAGUGCAGCAGCACCAACUAAGCUCACUGUAACCUCCACCUCCCGGGUUCCAGCCAUUCUCUUGCCUCAACCUCUUGAGUAGCUGGGAUUACAGGUGCACACCACCAUGCCUGGCUAAUUUCUGUAUUUUACAACAGGGUUUCACCAUGUUGACCAGGUUGGUCUCAAACUCCUGACCUUAGGUGAUGUACCCACCUCUGCCUCCCAAAGUACUGGGAUUACAGGCGUGAGCCACCACACCCAGCCCUAAUUUUUGUAUUUUUAGUGGAGAUGGGGUUUCCCCAGGUUGGCCAGGUUGGUCUCGAACUCCUGACCUCAAGUGAUCUGCCUGCCUCAACCUCCCAAAGUGCUGGGAUUACAGGCAUGAGUCACCACGCUUGGCCAAACCACCCUAAUUUCUACCAGCCAGAUGCAGAUCCUUAAAACAACCCUAGGAGGUAUUUCAACCAUUAUUCCCUUUUAAUAUCUGAGGAAAUGGAGGCACAGAGAGGUUAAAUCUCUGCCCUUGGUGGUGUGGCACCAAGGCACUGUACCUAAAUGAUUUAUUCAAAUGUAGAAGUCCUAUCUCUUUGAUCUAUGGUCUUUCCACUAUUUCUGGCGGAUUUCUUACCAAAUACUGAAGUUGGCAACAAAUGUGAAAACUUGAGCAUCCUUUUUUGACAGGCAAGGAAGACCAAACUGCCAAUUGUCAAUGUCAGAGGUUCUCAAAGUAUGGUCCAGGGACUUCUGGGAGUCCCUGAUACACUUUUGGUGGGUCUGCAAGUUCAAAAAUAUUUUCAUAAUAAAACUAAGAUACCAUUUGA